UCCAACUCUGAGUGCACGUGUGUGUGCAAGUGCAUGGAUCAAACUGAGUACACGUGUGUGUGUGUGCAAGUGCAUGGGGUCUAACUCUGAGUGCACACAUGUGUGUGCACAAGUGCAU
ensembl:miRNA